rnacentral:lncRNA from 1 species
UCUGAUACCACUAUAAUCUGUCACGCCCUGGACUUCAGCGGAAGCUCACCAGUCACGUGCACAGACCCGCCGUGUAUAUCACAACUCAGUAAACUCAAUAUACACCAGGCGUCUACAAUCAAUAUAGUAAAAAGCAAUCAAUUCUAACCAGGUAAUCAGAGCACAACUUCAAAGUAUAAACUUAUACAACCCAAAACCUUAAUACAAAAUAAAAAUCGAAUACAUUCUACAUAAACCCAAAGUAUAACACAAAACUAAACUAGAAGUGCUG